rnacentral:rRNA from 1 species
CUUUCCCUCUUUCUUUAGGCCUAACACAUGCAAGUCGAACGGCAGCACAGUAAGAGCUUGCUCUUACGGGUGGCGAGUGGCGGACGGGUGAGGAAUACAUCGGAAUCUACUUUUUCGUGGGGGAUAACGUAGGGAAACUUACGCUAAUACCGCAUACGACCUACGGGUGAAAGCAGUGGAUCUUCGGACCUUGCGCGAUUGAAUGAGCCGAUGUCGGAUUAGCUAGUUGGCGGGGUAAAGGCCCACCAAGGCGACGAUCCGUAGCUGGUCUGAGAGGAUGAUCAGCCACACUGGAACUGAGACACGGUCCAGACUCCUACGGGAGGCAGCAGUGGGGAAUAUUGGACAAUGGGCGCAAGCCUGAUCCAGCCAUCCCGCGUGGGUGAAGAAGGCCUUCGGGUUGUAAAGCCCUUUUGUUGGGAAAGAAAAGCAGCAGGUUAAUACCCCGCUGUUCUGACGGUACCCAAAGAAUAAGCACCGGCUAACUUCGUG